rnacentral:lncRNA from 1 species
CCCCCCAAGCGCGGCCAGAAUGGGCGCCGAGGCCGAGGAGGCACGGAGAGCGAGGGAAGGCUGCGAGGACCGCCAGCAUGCUGUCACCUCUCAGUGUGACAGAGAAAACCAAGAAAUUAAAGAAGAGGGCUGAAUCCACUCAUACUGGAUGGAAGAAGAAAAGAUGACUUAUCUGCUGAGAAGCUUAUGAGUGGCUACAAGGCACAGUAUGAGAAACUGAAAGUAUGCUUUUGGACAGGAAGGAUCUGACCGCUCCUCUUUUAGUUUUCAGUCUAGAAAAGAAGACAAUUAGUAUCUUUGGUAUUGGAAUUAUAGUUCUUAUAUUUUCAUAUCUUCUCUAUUAUCUCAAAAAAGUAUGCAUUUUUAAUUAGAAAAAUAACAAAAUGUAUUAGACUUAAAGUGUUAUCUUUCUGAUACCAAUUGCUCAAACCAUUGAAUUUUUCAGCUCUAAUUAAGGUGUACUAUAUCUUGAAAGGCAAAUUCCAAGGGUAUUUUCUACAAUUCCAAUGACAGGCAUGUUAAACAUCUAACCAGAUGUAUUUAUAAUAGUAUUAGCUCUUUUAUUCAUUAUAACAAAUAAUCUACUGUAAGUGUCUCAUAUUAAAUAUGCCUCAAAUAAUUGAACCUUAAAACUUUUUGUAUGGCUUUUGAAUAUUUGGAGUAGACCAAAAAAUAGUAUUAAUAAGGGCUAUACAUGAAGAGAAAUCAAUUUGAAAAGAAGCAACUAAAAAAAAGGACCUUAAAUUCUAAAGAAACUAAAUUGGUGAAAAUUAUGUACAAAAAAGUAAAAUUUUAAAAUACAUGAUAAAAUAUUAAAAUAAUAUUAAGAUGAACUAUUACAUUUAAAAACUGAGGUCACAAUAUAACAUUUUUUUACAUAGUAAAUUGUAUGAGAUAGGAAAUUGAAAUGGAAAUUCAGUAUUUUCAAAUUUAGAUAUUUCUUUGAAACCUCAAAAUAGCCAAAAGCCCCUCAUAUUCUCUGUUAAUGUGAUAUGUAUUUUAUUGAAAUCUUAGGAAACAUGAAAUGUACUUAAUGUAAAUUCUUGAAAUGUUAUUUUAACUAUAGCAUAUUUUGAUAUUUUGAAAGGGAAUUCACUGAUUCAUAUUAAAACCAUUUUUCAAGUUUAUAUGUGUUUAUAAAUUGCAGUUUGAAUUUUUAAUAAAGCAGUUUUCAAAAUCGAACAG